rnacentral:rRNA from 1 species
CGGAGGGUGCAAGCGUUAUCCGGAUUCACUGGGUUUAAAGGGUGCGUAGGUGGGCUAGUAAGUCCGUGGUGAAAUCUCUGAGCUUAACUCGGAAACUGCCGUGGAUACUAUUAGUCUUGAAUCUCGUGGAGGUAAGCGGAAUAUGUCAUGUAGCGGUGAAAUGCUUAGAUAUGACAUAGAACACCGAUAGCGAAGGCAGCUUGCUACACGAGUAUUGACACUGAGGCACGAAAGCGUGGGGAUCAAACAGGAUUAGAUACCCUGGUAGUCCACGCCCUAAACGAUGGAUACUCGACAUACGCGAUACACAGUGUGUGUCUGAGCGAAAGCAUUAAGUAUCCCACCUGGGGAGUACGACCGCAAGGUUG